UACGUAGGGAGCAAGCGUUGUUCGGAUUUACUGGGCGUAAAGGGCGCGUAGGCGGCAUAUUAAGUCAUCUGUGAAAUCUCCGAGCUUAACUCGGAACUGUCAGCUGAUACUGAUGUGCUAGAGUGCGGAAGGGGCAAUCGGAAUUCUUGGUGUAGCGGUGAAAUGCGUAGAUAUCAAGAGGAACACCUGAGGUGAAGACGGGUUGCUGGGCCGACACUGACGCUGAGUGCGCGAAAGCGUGGGGAGCAAAAGGG
rnacentral:rRNA from 1 species